AGAGUUUGAUCCUGGCUCAGAUUGAACGCUGGCGGAAUGCUUUACACAUGCAAGUCGAACGGCAGCACGGGGGCAACCCUGGUGGCGAGUGGCGAACGGGUGAGUAAUACAUCGGAACGUGCCCAGUCGUGGGGGAUAACGUAGCGAAAGCUACGCUAAUACCGCAUACGAACUCUGGUUGAAAGCGGGGGACUCGCAAGAGCCUCGCGCGAUUGGAGCGGCCGAUGGCAGAUUAGGUAGUUGGUGGGGUAAAGGCUCACCAAGCCGACGAUCUGUAGCUGGUCUGAGAGGACGACCAGCCACACUGGGACUGAGACACGGCCCAGACUCCUACGGGAGGCAGCAGUGGGGAAUUUUGGACAAUGGGCGCAAGCCUGAUCCAGCCAUUCCGCGUGCAGGAUGAAGGCCCUCGGGUUGUAAACUGCUUUUGUACGGAACGAAAAGCGCUGAGUUAAUACCUCGGCGUCAUGACGGUACCGUAAGAAUAAGCACCGGCUAACUACGUGCCAGCAGCCGCGGUAAUACGUAGGGUGCAAGCGUUAAUCGGAAUUACUGGGCGUAAAGCGUGCGCAGGCGGUUAUGUAAGACAGGUGUGAAAUCCCAGGGCUUAACCUUGGAACUGCAUUUGUGACUGCAUAGCUAGAGUACGGUAGAGGGGGAUGGAAUUCCGCGUGUAGCAGUGAAAUGCGUAGAUAUGCGGAGGAACACCGAUGGCGAAGGCAAUCCCCUGGACCUGUACUGACGCUCAUGCACGAAAGCGUGGGGAGCAAACAGGAUUAGAUACCCUAGUAGUCC
rnacentral:rRNA from 1 species